GGAGCCUCCCCGGCGGGGGCUGUCCGGCCUCUCCAGAGGUCUACACAGCGGGGCCCAAGAAGAAUGACAACAGCCAGCCGACCGUGAACCAGCACAGUUCCUGGGCACGAGCGGUGAGUCACAUCAAAGGCUGUGUCAUCCUUCAACCGUCCCAUCAGACUCCAAACCAAAGAGAUGUAACAUUGUUCUACGGAAACACGGAGUGUGGAUAAUGUGGACAGAUGCAGUGGGUGAUGCCAACCCGUGUUUUCAGGUCUGGGUUCUCGCUCUGACCCUGCUACUCACCAGCUUGAAUGACUUAGGACAAAUCACUUACCCUCUCUGAGAGCCAGUGUUUUCCUCCACCAAAAGAUAACCACGCAUUCGACAAACACUUGCGGUGAACGUGAAAAUGAGGUAGACCACAAUCCCUACCCCCAAGGCACAAGAACUGUGCACAAGGAAUAUAUUAUUCAAGGUUGGAAGGGAGAAGAAACAUCCGAAAUAAUCCCUGCUCUCUGAAUAUCCGAGAAAACUCCCUGGAAUUCGCCAGCUCUUUAAAAUUUGUAAUUUGUGUUUUAAUUUUUUCUUUUUAAUUUCUUUUUGAGACAGAGAGAAACAGAGAGUGAGCAGGGGAGGGGCAGAGAGAGAGAGAGACACAGAAUCUGAAACAGGCUCCAGGCUCUGAGCUGUCGGCACAGAGCCCGACAUGGGGCUCGAACUCACAAACCGCGAGAUCAUGACCUGAGCCGAAGUCGGACGCUCAACCGACUGAGCCACCCAGGCACCCCUUUAAAAUUUGUAACUGGAUGAGAUCUUUCCCUUCUCGUUCUAAAAGAAAUAGGAAUAACGACUAAAGUAAACUCGGUAUUCUUUCUCGGAACCCCCAGGCUUCUCCAAAUCCUCCCCCAAAUCUGAGGACUCUCUGAGAGUCCCGAAUUUGCACUUUGAUUGUCCCCUGGUCAAGUAAAGAUGUUGAGGAGCUCUCCUCCCCGGGGCUCCCCACUCCUUGUCCCCAGCUCGGCUUGACCGCUGGCCGCGGGGCGCUGUGAACACCACCGGGCUCUCCUCCCCAGCGGGGCGCCGUGGGCAUCCCUCAUGCACCGUGGCAGCUCUGUACCCCAGGGCCACCAAGCCCCGCUUCCAGGA
ensembl:lncRNA